AGAGCCCCAUUCAUACUGGAUAAAUUUUAGUCGCAUCCGGUCCGUCAAAUGUCUUAUGAUCUAUAGAGCCCUUUUGAUUUUUCUAUGGCAACAUUUGCUAUGCUGACGUCAUUGCCACGUCAUUACUGUCAGUCAGACAGAAAUAAAAGAAAAAUGGAUGCCGUUCAGACGUACACGCAUUAUUUGGAACUGAAAAUUACGUAAUUUAUCGACCUGCUGGCUUGUAUUUGUUAUAAAUCAUAAAAAAAUUAUGGAAAACAUCAUGAACAAUAAUGAAACAAACCGAACCUUUAGCUACAAUAAUAAAAUGACCCCAUGACGCCAGUGGAACUACGUGGUUUUCUUUCAUGAUGAUUUGAUGAUACCAUAAUGGAAUUAGCCAAGUUUUCGCCGUAUUGGGUGCUAGAUGCCCCUUGGAGUUAAGCCCCAGUGCCACUAUACUACCUUACCAGUUAUGUGUGGGUGUUGUAGUCCUAAGACACCCCGGAGGUACAAAGGGCCUUCACAAACUCACGCCACGCCU
rnacentral:lncRNA from 1 species